UACGUAGGUGACAAGCGUUGUCCGGAUUUACUGGGCGUAAAGAGCGCGCAGGCGGUCGUUCAAGUCGAGUGUGAAAGCCCCCGGCUCAACUGGGGAGGGUCACUCGAUACUGAUCGACUCGAAGGCAGGAGAGGGUAGUGGAAUUCCCGGUGUAGUGGUGAAAUGCGUAGAUAUCGGGAGGAACACCAGUGGCGAAGGCAAUCCCCUGGGCCUGCACUGACGCUCAUGCACGAAAGCGUGGGGAGCAAACAGG
rnacentral:rRNA from 1 species